UACGGGGGGAGCAAGCGUUGUUCGGAUUUACUGGGCGUAAAGGGCUCGUAGGCGGCCAACUAAGUCGAAUGUGAAAUCCCCAGGCUCAACUUGGGAACUGCAUCCGAUACUGGAUGGCUUGAAUUCGGGAGAGGGAUGCAGAAUUCCAGGUGUAGCGGUGAAAUGCGUAGAUAUCUGGAGGAACACCGGUGGCGAAAGCGGCUCACUGGACCGUCUCUGACGCUGAGGUGCGAAAGCUAGGGUAGCAAACGGG
rnacentral:rRNA from 1 species